CCUUCAUCACCAUUAUUGUGACUUUCUGCAAUAGGAGCACAUAAAAACAAGGACAAAAUUUCUAAGCCAGGAAGAAUAUUGAAAGGACUGGAACACUUUCUGACAUGGAAGGAUAUUGAUCAGUAAAGAUAAUGAAAAAGAAGAUGAGGUCCAUAGGGCCAAAAACAAUGACCACCGCAUAAAAAGAAGAAAAACCCAAAUGAAUGGGCUAAAUAAAAGAUAAAUCUAAACCAAGAAAAGAAG